GGCCUCUCACUCGUUGGACUGCCGGGGGUCCCCUUGCUCCUCAGUGAGGGUGAAAGGCUUGGAGAGCAACCCCAGAGGCGCGUAGUCAGGGUUGCUGCAAGUGGGCAGCGGUAUUUUCCUGACUCGGGCAUGU
rnacentral:snoRNA from 1 species